GACGAACGCUGGCGGCGUGCUUAACACAUGCAAGUCGAGCGGUAAGGCCCUUUCGGGGGUACACGAGCGGCGAACGGGUGAGUAACACGUGGGUGACCUGCCCUCAGCUCUGGGAUAAGCCUGGGAAACCGGGUCUAAUACCGGAUAUGACUCCAUGACGCAUGUUGUGGGGUGGAAAGCCUUGUGUGGCUGAGGAUGGGCCCGCGGCCUAUCAGCUUGUUGGUGGGGUGAUGGCCUACCAAGGCGACGACGGGUAGCCGGCCUGAGAGGGCGACCGGCCACACUGGGACUGAGACACGGCCCAGACUCC
rnacentral:rRNA from 1 species